CAAAUUUUUCCGCUGGCUUUUGAAUAUAUUUUUGAAAAAUAAUGGCUACGACAAAAAGAAACCGAGCUACCUUCGCCGAAAACAUCGAACGGUUGAUUGCGUCUGUUACGCGAUGAAUGCAACGGUUUACUGACGACUGACCCAUGGAUAUCCCCAUUGC